AUCUAAGGGACAACGUUCCCUUCACACAUGAUAUCAAUGAUCCUGUCAACAAUUCUACAAAACAUCCAAAAUUCUCCUGCAUACAAGAACCCCCCUACUAUAUAAAAAAAACUCACUCAUCCUAACAAUCUGACUAACAACUACUUUUUGAUAUGUUACUUCCUAACAUACACAUUACAUAUCCUAUAAUAAUCUGAAAAGGUUUUAGAUAUAUUCUGACAAUCUACAUGAUGCUUCUAUUGUAGGUUGGCUAUGUGACAACCAUAUGUUUUUUAUGUUUCCUUGUCAGAUGCAUUAUGAUGUGCUUUAAUGCAUUUAAUAAAGAUGCGAACCUUGAUGUCCUUGAUCACCCAAUUCUAAACUUCAUAUAUUACCUGUUGGUGGAAAUAGUGCCUUCUUCUUUGGUCCUUUUCAUCUUGAGGAAGCUUCCACCAAAGCGUGGUAUAACGCAAUAUCACCCAAUUCGCUGAAGAGGGCAUUAUAAUUCACUAUUUUAUUGGAUGAUUAUAAAAGUCCUAGGUAAUUUUUUAGAUAGAGACAAGUCAGUGUUCAAUGUACCGGUGUCAAAGCUUGUAUCAUGGAACGUGAUAUAUAUAUAUAUUGAAUGUAUUCUCAACCGUA